GAUGAAUUAAUAAAUACGAUAAAU
rnacentral:siRNA from 1 species